ACUCCUACGGGAGGCAGCAGUGGGGAAUAUUGGACAAUGGGCGCAAGCCUGAUCCAGCCAUGCCGCGUGAGUGAUGAAGGCCCUAGGGUUGUAAAGCUCUUUCACCGGUGACGAUAAUGACGGUAACCGGAGAAGAAGCCCCGGCUAACUUCGUGCCAGCAGCCGCGGUAAUACGAAGGGGGCUAGCGUUGUUCGGAUUUACUGGGCGUAAAGCGCACGUAGGCGGACUAUUAAGUCAGGGGUGAAAUCCCGGGGCUCAACCCCGGAACUGCCUUUGAUACUGGUAGUCUUGAGUUCGAGAGAGGUGAGUGGAAUUCCGAGUGUAGAGGUGAAAUUCGUAGAUAUUCGGAGGAACACCAGUGGCGAAGGCGGCUCACUGGCUCGAUACUGACGCUGAGGUGCGAAAGCGUGGGGAGCAAACAGGAUUAGAUACCCCGGUAGUCCCA
rnacentral:rRNA from 1 species